AUGUAGCACUCACUCCGGUUCCUGUGCGCCCUCCACGGCCACAUGAAGACUGUUCGCGACGUUCUGUUAGCC
rnacentral:sRNA from 1 species